UAAGCGUGUGAUGAAAUUUCGGGGCUCAACCCCGAAACUGUUACGCGAACUGCUAGGCUAGAGUGUAUGAGGGGUACCUGGAAUUCCCAGUGUAGGAGUGGAAUCCGUAGAUAUUGGGAGGAACACCAAUGGCGUAGGCAGGGUACUGGCAUAUUACUGACGCUAAGGCACGAAAGCGUGGGGAGCGAACGGGAUUAGAUACCCCGGUAGUCCACGUCGUAAACGAUGGAUGCUG
rnacentral:rRNA from 1 species